GACGAACGCUGGCGGCGUGCCUAAUACAUGCAAGUCGAACGAACUCUGGUAUUGAUUGGUGCUUGCAUCAUGAUUUACAUUUGAGUGAGUGGCGAACUGGUGAGUAACACGUGGGAAACCUGCCCAGAAGCGGGGGAUAACACCUGGAAACAGAUGCUAAUACCGCAUAACAACUUGGACCGCAUGGUCCGAGCUUGAAAGAUGGCUUCGGCUAUCACUUUUGGAUGGUCCCGCGGCGUAUUAGCUAGAUGGUGGGGUAACGGCUCACCAUGGCAAUGAUACGUAGCCGACCUGAGAGGGUAAUCGGCCACAUUGGGACUGAGACACGGCCCAAACUCCUACGGGAGGCAGCAGUAGGGAAUCUUCCACAAUGGACGAAAGUCUGAUGGAGCAACGCCGCGUGAGUGAAGAAGGGUUUCGGCUCGUAAAACUCUGUUGUUAAAGAAGAACAUAUCUGAGAGUAACUGUUCAGGUAUUGACGGUAUUUAACCAGAAAGCCACGGCUAACUACGUGCCAGCAGCCGCGGUAAUACGUAGGUGGCAAGCGUUGUCCGGAUUUAUUGGGCGUAAAGCGAGCGCAGGCGGUUUUUUAAGUCUGAUGUGAAAGCCUUCGGCUUAACCGAAGAAGUGCAUCGGAAACUGGGAAACUUGAGUGCAGAAGAGGACAGUGGAACUCCAUGUGUAGCGGUGAAAUGCGUAGAUAUAUGGAAGAACACCAGUGGCGAAGGCGGCUGUCUGGUCUGUAACUGACGCUGAGGCUCGAAAGUAUGGGUAGCAAACAGGAUUAGAUACCCUGGUAGUCCAUACCGUAAACGAUGAAUGCUAAGUGUUGGAGGGUUUCCGCCCUUCAGUGCUGCAGCUAACGCAUUAAGCAUUCCGCCUGGGGAGUACGGCCGCAAGGCUGAAACUCAAGGGAAUUGACGGGGGCCCGCACAAGCGGUGGAGCAUGUGGUUUAAUUCGAAGCUACGCGAAGAACCUUACCAGGUCUUGACAUACUAUGCAAAUCUAAGAGAUUAGACGUUCCCUUCGGGGACAUGGAUACAGGUGGUGCAUGGUUGUCGUCAGCUCGUGUCGUGAGAUGUUGGGUUAAGUCCCGCAACGAGCGCAACCCUUAUUAUCAGUUGCCAGCAUUAAGUUGGGCACUCUGGUGAGACUGCCGGUGACAAACCGGAGGAAGGUGGGGAUGACGUCAAAUCAUCAUGCCCCUUAUGACCUGGGCUACACACGUGCUACAAUGGAUGGUACAACGAGUUGCGAACUCGCGAGAGUAAGCUAAUCUCUUAAAGCCAUUCUCAGUUCGGAUUGUAGGCUGCAACUCGCCUACAUGAAGUCGGAAUCGCUAGUAAUCGCGGAUCAGCAUGCCGCGGUGAAUACGUUCCCGGGCCUUGUACACACCGCCCGUCACACCAUGAGAGUUUGUAACACCCAAAGUUGGUGGGGUAACCUUUUAGGAACCAGCCGCCUAAGGUGGGACAGAUGAUUAGGGUGA
rnacentral:rRNA from 1 species